CAACAAGAUAUCUAGGACAUAGUGAACAAAUAAAAGACAUACCAAACACAGAAGAGAAUAGGAAGGCUGAUCCAAACCCGAGGGAAUCACCAAUAGCUUUUGUCUCUGGAGCUUGCAUCAGAAAGUAGGCCUACAUGGAAGAACCAAAAGCAGAAAUAAAAUCCAUCUCUGCAAAGCUAUAACAGCAACAACAUAUGCACUCAAAUAGACACAAGGUAUGUUUGCACUACGACCUCAUUUGAUAACAGUGACCAUAGAAUGCAUCGAAUAUUCUGCGGAAUCAAAUCUGAAUAUGGCACUUAUAGAGAAUAGCUACUGUGCUUGAAGUGCUCCCAGCUCUAGCAGUCAAAUGAUUCAUUCUAAUACUGAAGAUUAUAAAUCAUUGAAUGAGCGACAGUUGCCCUAACAAACCUCUGUUUCUCUCCAUGUUUAGCAUACAUAAUCCCAUCAAGAGUGCCGCAGCAACACCAAAAAGGUACUCGAUGCUGCAAGUACUUCUCGGCCAGUUAAAUUCAACGGACCAAUCACUGACCCCAUCGACUCCAGACACACUACUGAUUUGGAGAAAGUUUCCAACUUCUUUUGAUUAGCAUGCGAGCCCAUACAAGUUUAGACCAAUCUAAAACUUUUCCAUUCAUCUUCAUUAACAUCCCCCAAGAGCAAUUGCACAAAACUUCCCAUCUCAAGUUGAUUAAGAUUUGAUGAUUCCACGUACAGUCCAUUAUGUUUCAACCAAGUUCUCAGAUUUGGCAGGAAGAGAGUUUGAAUUCAUAGUUACCUAGAACAUGGUACAUUGUGGGUUGUAGUAUGAUUACAGGGGACAGUGCACACCACUUACCAUCGUAGGUUUAGCAUGGAGGGAAGGCUUAGUUGGUUCAGUAUUUGAAAUGGUGGCAUGCUUUAAAGUGCUCAUUGGGGUCGCUUAUUGUUUUUUAUCCGUGAAAUCAAUAAGAUGCCCCUAGGAAGGCAAGUAAAACUGUAAAAGAGGCAUCCAUUCUUCUUUCCU